GACGAACGCUGGCGGCGUGCUUAACACAUGCAAGUCGAACGGUAAGGCCUUCGGGUACACGAGUGGCGAACGGGUGAGUAACACGUGGGUGAUCUGCCUCCUACUCUUGGAUAAGCCUGGGAAACUGGGUCUAAUACCGGAUAUGACCUCCUUCUGCAUGGUUGGUGGUGGAAAGUUUUUUUGGUAGGGGAUGAGCCCGCGGCCUAUCAGCUUGUUGGUGGGGUAAUGGCUUACCAAGGCGAUGACGGGGAGCCGGCCUGGGAGGGAGACCGGCCAAAUCGGGACUGGAACACGGCCCGGGCUCCAACGGGAGGCAGCAGGGGGGAAUAGUGCACAAUGGGCGAAUGCCGGAUGCAGCGAGACCGCGUUGGGGGUGAAGGCAUUCGGGUUGUAAACCCCUUUCAGUCGGGACAAAGCGAGAGUGACGGUACCGAUAGAAGAAGAACCGGCCAACUACGUGCCAGCCGCCGCCGUAACAC
rnacentral:rRNA from 1 species